UGAAUAGGUUCGGGAGACUGUUUAUCAGUCUCCGUAAAGUCGUAAGACCAUGCAUGGGACUAUCGCUUGUCUAAUGUUGGAAGGUCAGGAUAGUUGGUGACCUAAUGAUAGGAGAGCCAGUGACCAAAGCCCCUAUAAAUGGCGGCCGUAACUAUAAUAGUCGUAAGAUAAUAAAAUUCCUUGUCAGGUAAGUUCCGACCCGCACGAAAGGCGUAACGAUUUGGGA
rnacentral:ncRNA from 1 species